UACGGGGGGGGCAAGCGUUGUUCGGAAUUUCUGGGCGUAAAGCGUGCGUAGACGGUUAUGUAAGUCAGAUGUGAAAGCCCAGGGCUCAACCUUGGAAUUGCAUUUGAGACUGCAUAGCUAGGGUGCGGAAGAGGAAAGUGGAAUUCCACGUGUAGCGGUGAAAUGCGUAGAGAUGUGGAGGAACACCAGUGGCGAAGGCGACUUUCUGGUCUGUAACUGACGCUGAGGCGCGAAAGCGUGGGGAGCAAACAGG
rnacentral:rRNA from 1 species